rnacentral:rRNA from 1 species
GAGUUUGAUCAUGGCUCAGAUUGAACGCUGGCGGCAUGCCUUACACAUGCAAGUCGAACGGCAGCACGGGAGCUUGCCCCUGGUGGCGAGUGGCGAACGGGUGAGUAAUGCAUCGGAACGUAUCCUGGAGUGGGGGAUAACGUAGCGAAAGUUACGCUAAUACCGCAUAUUCUGUGAGCAGGAAAGCGGGGGACCUUCGGGCCUCGCGCUCUUGGAGCGGCCGAUGUCGGAUUAGCUAGUUGGUGAGGUAAAGGCUCACCAAGGCGACGAUCCGUAGCAGGUCUGAGAGGAUGAUCUGCCACACUGGAACUGAGACACGGUCCAGACUCCUACGGGAGGCAGCAGUGGGGAAUUUUGGACAAUGGGGGCAACCCUGAUCCAGCCAUGCCGCGUGAGUGAAG